CGGACUCUCGGAGAAUAUAAUCCAACCGGCUCCUCCCUUGCUUCUCAUCUCACAUGUAAUUUCGUCCUAGCCAGGCUUCCCUUGCCCUAGGAUUGCGCCGCCGCCGAUCCAACCGGCUUCUCCCCGCCCGACGGCCGCGAUGUACAACGGCAUCGGGCUGCAGACCGCGCGGGGGUCGGGCACCAACGGUUACGCGCAGAGCAACACGUUCUUCGUCAAGCCCCGCCCCCGCUCCACCACAUCCGGCGGGGGUCCGGGCAGGCCCCACAGGCCGCUGCCCCCCGACGCCGCCGGCGCGGAUGGCGGCGGGAUGCGAAAGCCCAACAAGGAGAUCCUCGAGCACGACCGCAAGCGCCAAGUCGAGCUCAAGCUGCUCGUGCUCAGGGACGCGCUCGAGGAGCACGGCUACACCGAAGACGAGAUCGAGGAGCGCGUCGCGGAGGCGCGCAAGGCCGCGGAGGCAGAGGCGGCCGCGGCCGUGGCAGCGGAGGAGGCAGGGAGCGGUCGUGGCGCCGGGCGACCGCCUCUGCCCGUGAGAGGGUUAGACCUCAGCUGGCCAAGACGGAGGUAGCGCACAUAGGUCAAGUUGCUCUGGUGACAACCUGAAUUGCUUGAAACAUCUAUGGAACCGUCCAGCAGAUGGCGCACCCGACAGAAGCGGCAGCGUCCCGAUGGACGCGUUUGCCAAGGAUCAAGGCGUGUUGCAGGUGUGUGGUGGGGGAGGAUCGGAGGAGGCCCACUGCGGGUGCGAGCCGGUGGAGCACAGCAAGAACGGGAAGAGGUGGAGGAGGCCUUUGCAGGUGCGAGCCGGUGGAGCACAACAAGAACGAGAAGAGGCAGAGGAGGCCAGGGCGUGAGGGAGAGGUUGCGGACGAUGGGCGCAUGCUGCGACGUGAAUUGUGGUGGCACCGGGAAAGCUCGGAGAGCACAACAAAAUCAGUCGUCUUUUAAGAACUCCGAUAUAAGAGUCUUAGAUUGCACAAGCUAACUAAUUUUCCACACAAGCCUGUAGACAUCUGGGAAAAGAUCCGCAUAGUCAUUAUUGGUCGAAUCGUGAUGCCAAGGGCAAUGGAAAAUGAACAAACUGGAUGUGGUUGGUACUAUACCCGAGGAGCCGAGGAACCUCAGACACUUGACAACUCUGAAUUUACAACAGAAUUACUUAACAGGGCCUUCGCCAUCGUUCCUUCUUCCUUGGAGAAUUGACUGCUUUGCAACAGAUGUGAGAUAGAUUUAAAACUUAAAUUACUCCAUGAUCUGGAUAACAUCGAAACCUAAACCUAAUUCUUCUCCCUUCAUCAACACACAAGGUCGCUUUCUGGCAAUGCAUUAUCAGGAAGUAUUCCUAAGGAGCUGGGGAACCUUGUCAAUCUCAUAAUCCUGUAAGAAAUGGACUUUGUAGUGUCAUGACCUAUCUGAUAAGAAAUAUAGAUUUACAAAAAACGUGUCCUCAAUUUAACUCACGUGCAUGUACAUAUCACAACUAUUCAGGUGUGUAAUCACCACUGAAUUAAAUGCAUGACAAUUUAACUUGCCUCAAACCACUUCAAGCUCUUCCUAUUAGAGAGGAAACAAAUUUACGUCUUCGUUUAUUCUACCAGUUAUCAUCAUGCUUCUAUGGUAAGGAUAUUCCACCCACAAAUUUAAUGCUUCUAACCUGGUCUUACUAUUUAUGUGAUUUUUGGAGUUUAGGCACGAACAAUUUAACUGGCUCCCUUCCUUCUGAAUUAGGUAACCUGGUUAAUGGCAAUGAUCCUAUUGUCGACAGUUGACACUCGAGCUUAACAUUCCCAAAAAAGCUUCUUUUAUUCAGGUCUGAAUAAUCUAUCCAAAUCAACUGCAAAGUUUCAAGGGCGAAUAAAUAUUCUUAGGUCUUUGAAAAUUCCAAGUAAUCUGAACUUAUUGACCUGCUACGAAGAAACAUUCAAUCAAAUGAGUGAUAUGCCUAAGUAUACAUUAUUUGCAAAUGCUACAAUAUAUAACAUUAAAAGCUAAAAGGCUAUAAUUGUACAGUUUAAUAUAAGGCUGUUAAGAUUAGUAUUGUAGUACAAUGUGAGGGGAUCAUUUGGUACCCAUCUGUAAUAUCUGAAUUCUUAAUUGUAUGUCCUUUUCCUAGAAGGCAUUUCAGAUUUACUCCUUGAAGCGAUCGGCAUAUGCUGUUGUGCUGAGAGCAUUCUGUGCUCAGUCAGACCUUCUCUCAAGGUUACGUCCUCAUAUGGUGAUUUCAUAUGUGAAGUAUUACUAAACAAAUUAUAAUUAGUAGGAACUAUGGUGAUUUCAUACUCUAUGUUGUUUGAGAAAAAAAUUCUACAAACUGUACUUUGUUAGUUUAUUUCCAUUUGUGAUUUUAUUUUAUGAGGAAAUAGAAUGUGUUUCUAAUGCUUUAGCAAAUCUGUCUAUAGCAUAUGAUUUGUAUAGUUGUCUAUGGAAAUCUAAUGCACUUAUUGCUUCCAGUUUCACUUAACAGCAUGAUAGAUUUUCUAGAUGCGGACUUCCGUUCUCUUCCGACUAUGCAACAGAGGCGGCAGCACUGUCCUGUAAAAAAUAUUUCUACAAACUGUAUUUCUCUGUACUUCGUUAGUUUAUUUCCAUUUGCGAUGUUAUUUUCCGAGGAAAUAGAAUGUGUUUUUAAUGCUUUAGUAAAUCUGUCUCUAGCAUAUGAUUUGUAUAAUUGUCUAUGGAAAUAUAA